GAUGAACGCUAGCGAUAGGCUUAACACAUGCAAGUCGAGGGGCAGCAUGGUCUUAGCUUGCUAAGACUGAUGGCGACCGGCGCACGGGUGCGUAACGCGUAUGCAACUUGCCUCACAGAGGGGGAUAACCCGUCGAAAGACGGACUAAUACCGCGUACACUUGGAGGGAGGCAUCUCCCAUCAAGGAAAAGAAAUUCGCUGUGAGAUAGGCAUGCGUCCCAUUAGCUAGUUGGUGAGGUAACGGCUCACCAAGGCAACGAUGGGUAGGGGAACUGGCAGGUUUAACCCCCGCUCUGGUACUGGGACACGGACCAGACUCCUACGGGAGGCAGCAGUGAGGAAUAUUGGUCAAUGGGCGAGAGCCUGAACCAGCCAAGUCGCGUGAAGGAUGACUGUCUUAUUGAUUGUAAACUUCUUUUGUAGGGGAAUAAAGAACGGUACGUGUACCGUAGUGAAUGUACCCUACGAAUAAGCAUCGGCUAACUCCGUGCCAGCCGCCGCAGUAA
rnacentral:rRNA from 1 species